rnacentral:rRNA from 1 species
CCUACGGGUGGCAGCAGUGAGGAAUAUUGGUCAAUGGCCGUAAGGCUGAACCAGCCAAGUAGCGUGAGGGAAGACUGUCCUAAGGGUUGUAAACUUCUUUUAUCCGGGGAUAAAGUUGUCCACGUGUGGAUGUUUGCAGGUACCGCAUGAAUAAGGAUCGGCUAAUUCCGUGCCAGCAGCCGCGGUAAUACGGAAGGUCCGGACGUUAUCCGGAUUUAUUGGGUUUAAAGGGAGCGUAGGCCGGUCUUUAAGCGUGCCGUGAAAUUUUGUGGCUCAACCAUGGGAGUGCGGCGCGAACUGGAGACCUUGAGUGCGCGGGAGGUAGGCGGAAUGCGUGGUGUAGCGGUGAAAUGCUUAGAUAUCGCGAAGAACCCCGAUUGCGAAGGCAGCCUGCCGCAGCGUUACUGACGCUGAAGCUCGAAAGCGCGGGUAUCGAACAGGAUUAGAUACCCGUGUAGUC